AGGACGAACGCUGGCGGCGUGCUUAACACAUGCAAGUCGAACGGAAAGGCCCGCUUGCGGGUACUCGAGUGGCGAACGGGUGAGUAACACGUGGGCAACCUGCCCUCAGCUCUGGGAUAACUCCGGGAAACCGGUGCUAAUACUGGAUAUCGACUUCUGCCUCGCAUGGGGUGUUGUUGAAAGUUUUUCGGCUGGGGAUUGGCCCGCGGCCUAUCAGCUUGUUGGUGAGGUGAUGGCCUACCAAGGCGACGACGGGUAGCCGGCCUGAGAGGGCGACCGGCCACACUGGGACUGAGACACGGCCCAGACUCCUACGGGAGGCAGCAGUGGGGAAUAUUGCGCAAUGGGCGAAAGCCUGACGCAGCGACGCCGCGUGGGGGAUGAAGCAUUUCGGUGUGUAAACCCCUGUUGCCCGGGACGAAAACCUGAUUUUGAUCAGUCUGACGGUACCGGGUGAGGAAGCACCGGCUAACUCCGUGCCAGCAGCCGCGGU
rnacentral:rRNA from 1 species